rnacentral:rRNA from 1 species
AACGAACGCUGGCGGCAGGCUUAACACAUGCAAGUCGAACGCACCUUUCGGGGUGAGUGGCAGACGGGUGAGUAACGCGUGGGAAUCUACCCUUCUCUACGGGAUAGCUCCGGGAAACUGGAAUUAAUACCGUAUACGUCCUGAGGGAGAAAGAUUUAUCGGGGAAGGAUGAGCCCGCGUUGGAUUAGCUAGUUGGUGGGGUAAAGGCCUACCAAGGCGACGAUCCAUAGCUGGUCUAAGAGGAUGAUCAGCCACAUUGGGACUGAGACACGGCCCAAACUCCUACGGGAGGCAGCAGUGGGGAAUAUUGGACAAUGGGCGCAAGCCUGAUCCAGCCAUGCCGCGUGAGUGAUGAAAGCCCUAGGGUUGUAAAGCUCUUUCAGUGGGGACGAUAAUGACGGUACCCACAGAAGAAGCCCCGGCUAACUUCGUG